rnacentral:rRNA from 1 species
GGAAAAGAAACCAACAGGGAUUGCCUCAGUAACGGCGAGUGAAGCGGCAACAGCUCAAAUUUGAAAUCUGGAGCCUUCGGCUUCCGAGUUGUAAUUUGAAGAGGAUGUUUCGGUGCGGCCUGGGCCUAAGUUCCUUGGAACAGGACGUCAUGGAGGGUGAGAAUCCCGUACAUGGCUGCAGGCUUGCUUCUAUGUGAAACUCCUUCGAAGAGUCGAGUUGUUUGGGAAUGCAGCUCAAAAUGGGUGGUAAAUUUCAUCUAAAGCUAAAUAUUGGCGGGAGACCGAUAGCGCACAAGUAGAGUGAUCGAAAGAUGAAAAGCACUUUGAAAAGAGAGUUAAACAGUACGUGAAAUUGUUGAAAGGGAAGCGCUUGCAAUCAGACUCGCCUUCAGUUGAUCAGCCUUCCUUCUGGUUGGUGCACUCUGCUGUUGGCGGGCCAGCAUCAGUUGGGGCGGCGGGACAAAGGCGGCAGGAAUGUGGCUCGUUCCGGCGAGUGUUAUAGCCUACUGUGUCAUGCCACCAGCCCCGACUGAGGUCCGCGGUUCGCCUAGGAUGCUGGCUUAAUGGUUGUAAGCGACCCGUCUUGAAACACGGACCAAGGAGUCUAACAUCUAUGCGAGUCUUUGGGUGUAAAACCCAUGGGCGAAAUGAAAGUGAACGGAGGUGGGAGUCUUCGGAUGCACCAUCGACCGAUCCUGAUGUUCUCGGAUGGAUUUGAGUAGGAGCAUAGCUGUUGGGACCCGAAAGAUGGUGAACUAUGCCUGAAUAGGGUGAAGCCAGAGGAAACUCUGGUGGAGGCUCGCAGCGGUUCUGACGUGCAAAUCGAUCGUCAAAUUUGGGUAUAGGGGCGAAAGACUAAUCGAACCAUCUAGUAGCUGGUUCCUGCA